GACGAACGCUGGCGGCGUGCUUAACACAUGCAAGUCGAACGGAAAGGCCCUGCUUGCAGGGUACUCGAGUGGCGAACGGGUGAGUAACACGUGGGUGAUCUGCCCUGCACUUCGGGAUAAGCUUGGGAAACUGGGUCUAAUACCGGAUAGGAACCAUCUUUAGUGUGGUGGUUGGAAAGUUUUUUCGGUGUAGGAUGAGCUCGCGGCCUAUCGGCUUGUUGGUGGGGUAAUGGCCUACCAAGGCGGCGACGGGUAGCCGGCCUGGGUGGGUGUCCGGCCACAUUGGGACUUAGAUACGGCCCAGACUCCUACGGGAGGCAGCUGUGGUGAAGAUGGCACAAUGGGCGCAAGCCUGAUGCAGCGAGGCCGCGUGGGGGAUGAAGGCCUUCGGGUUGAAAACUCCUUUCGCUAGGGACGAAGCUUUUUGUGACGGUACCUAGAUAAGAAGCACCGGCUAACUACGUG
rnacentral:rRNA from 1 species